rnacentral:rRNA from 1 species
AUUGAACGCUGGCGGCAUGCCUUACACAUGCAAGUCGAACGGUAACAGGUCUUCGGAUGCUGACGAGUGGCGAACGGGUGAGUAAUACAUUGGAGCGUGCCCGAUCGUGGGGGAUAACGAAGCGAAAGCUUUGCUAAUACCGCAUACGAUCUACGGAUGAAAGCGGGGGAUCUUCGGACCUCGCGCGGACGGAGCGGCCGAUGGCAGAUUAGGUAGUUGGUGGGAUAAAAGCUUACCAAGCCGACGAUCUGUAGCUGGUCUGAGAGGAUGAUCAGCCACACUGGGACUGAGACACGGCCCAGACUCCUACGGGAGGCAGCAGUGGGGAAUUUUGGACAAUGGGCGCAAGCCUGAUCCAGCCAUGCCGCGUGCAGGAUGAAGGCCUUCGGGUUGUAAACUGCUUUUGUACGGAACGAAAAGGUGCCUUCUAAUAAAGGGCGCUCAUGACGGUACCGUAAGAAUAAGCACCGGCUAACUACGUG